rnacentral:rRNA from 1 species
CCUACGGGGGGCUGCAGUGGGGAAUCUUGCACAAUGGGCGAAAGCCUGAUGCAGCGACGCCGCGUGGAGGAUGAAGGCCUUCGGGUUGUAAACUCCUUUUGCAGGGGAAGAUAAUGACGGUACCCUGCGAAUAAGCCACGGCUAACUCUGUGCCAGCAGCCGCGGUAAGACAGAGGUGGCGAGCGUUGUUCGGAAUUACUGGGCUUAAAGGGCGCGUAGGCGGUGGCGCAAGUCUGGGGUGGAAUUUCACAGCUUAACUGUGGGAUUGCCUUGGAAACUGCGUUACUUGAGUCGGACAGGGGAAGGCGGAAUUCCUGGUGUAGCGGUGAAAUGCGUAGAUAUCAGGAGGAAGGCCUGUGGUGAAGACGGCCUUCUGGGUCUUGACUGACGCUGAGGCGCGAAAGCGUGGGGAGCAAACAGGAUUAGAUACCCCGGUAGUC